CAGCCGGCGCAUCCAGGGGUGCCAGUGCGCGCCAAGUGGUGGACACCAAGAUCUCUGUCUUCACCCAAAGGCUGCAGAAAAUGACCAAGUCCCAGGAUAUCAAACCACAAAGCCAUCUGUGAUCCACAAGUUGGAACAAGGUGAAGAAC